UAGUUUAGCUAAAACAUUAGAUUGUGAUUCUAAAAAUAGGGGUUAAAGUCCAUAAUUAACCU
rnacentral:tRNA from 1 species